CCUACGGGAGGCAGCAGUGGGGAAUAUUGCACAAUGGGGGAAACCCUGAUGCAGCGACGCCGCGUGAAGGAAGAAGUAUUUCGGUAUGUAAACUUCUAUCAGCAGGGAAGAAAAUGACGGUACCUGACUAAGAAGCCCCGGCUAACUACGUGCCAGCAGCCGCGGUAAUACGUAGGGGGCAAGCGUUAUCCGGAUUUACUGGGUGUAAAGGGAGCGUAGGCGGUUUAGCAAGUCAGAAGUGAAAGCCCAGGGCUCAACCCCGGGACUGCUUUUGAAACUGUUGGACUAGAGUGCAGGAGAGGUAAGUGGAAUUCCUAGUGUAGCGGUGAAAUGCGUAGAUAUUAGGAGGAACACCAGUGGCGAAGGCGGCUUACUGGACGGUAAAUGACGCUGAGGCUCGAAAGCGUGGGGAGCAAACAGGAUUAGAUACCCGGGUAGUC
rnacentral:rRNA from 1 species